CUUUUGAAUAUAAUUUAAGGUCUAACCUGCCCAAUGAUUUAGUUAAAUGGCCGCGGUNUCUUAACCGUGCAAAGGUAGCAUAAUAAUUAGUUUUUUAAUUGAAAGCUUGUAUGAAAGGUUGAAUGAAAAAAUAACUGUCUCUGUUUAAAUUAAUUAGAAUUUUAUUUUUAAGUWAAAAAGCUUAAAUAUAUAUAGAAGACGAGAAGACCCUAUAGAGUUUUAUAUUCUUUUUUAUUUAAGUGUUUAGAAUUUUAAUUUUAUAUAAAAAAUAGUAUUUGAUUGGGGUGAUUARAAAAUUAGAUAAACUUUUUUUAUAAAANNNCAUUAAUUUAUGAAUUNUUGAUCCUUUAUUUAAGAUUAAAAGAUAAAAUUACCUUAGGGAUAACAGCGUAAUUUUUUUUAAGAGUUCUAAUCGAAAAAAAAGAUUGCGACCUCGAUGUUGGAUUAAAAUGAAUUUUUGGUGUAGAAGCNAAA
rnacentral:rRNA from 1 species